GACGAAGGAUGCAAGCGUUAUCCGGAUUCAUUGGGUUUAAAGGGAGCGUAGGUGGCCUUAUAAGUCAGUGGUGAAAUCUCUCAGCUUAACUGAGAAAUUGCCAUUGAUACUGUAGGGCUUGAGUACAGAUGCCGUUGGCGGAAUAUGACAUGUAGUGGUGAAAUACAUAGAGAUGUCAUAGAACACCGAUUGCGAAGGCAGCUGACGAAACUGUAACUGACACUGAGGCUGAAAGUGCGGGGAUCAAACAGG
rnacentral:rRNA from 1 species